rnacentral:rRNA from 1 species
CAGCAGCCGCGGUAAUACGAAGGGGGCUAGCGUUGUUCGGAAUUACUGGGCGUAAAGCGCACGUAGGCGGAUCGAUCAGUCAGGGGUGAAAUCCCAGGGCUCAACCCUGGAACUGCCUUUGAUACUGUCGAUCUGAAGUAUGGAAGAGGUGAGUGGAAUUCCGAGUGUAGAGGUGAAAUUCGUAGAUAUUCGGAGGAACACCAGUGGCGAAGGCGGCUCACUGGUCCAUUACUGACGCUGAGGUGCGAAAGCGUGGGGAGCAAACAGGAUUAGAUACCCGAGUAGUCCCUGUCUCUUAUAC